UUAACAAAUAUUUGUAUGGAGUUGGAACGUUUGCCUACGUUUGCCGCUAGGGGCGCUGUUCCAAUUGCAUACAAAUUUGAGUUA
rnacentral:pre_miRNA from 1 species